CCUACGGGUGGCAGCAGUGGGGAAUAUUGCACAAUGGGGGAAACCCUGAUGCAGCGACGCCGCGUGAGUGAAGAAGUAUUUCGGUAUGUAAAGCUCUAUCAGCAGGGAAGAAAAUGACGGUACGUGAUUAAGAAGCCCCGUCUAACUACGUGCCAGCAGCCGCGGUAAUACGUAGGGGGCAAGCGUUAUCCGGAUUUACUGGGUGUAAAGGGAGCGUAGACGGCAGCACAAGUCUGGAGUGAAAUGCCGGGGCUUAACCCCGGAACUGCUUUGGAAACUGUACAGCUAGAGUGCGUGAGAGGUAAGUGGAAUUCCUAGUGUAGCGGUGAAAUGCGUAGAUAUUAGGAGGAACACCAGUGGCGAAGGCGGCUUACUGGACUGUAACUGACGUUGAGGCACGAAAGCGUGGGGAGCAAACAGGAUUAGAUACCCCUGUAGUC
rnacentral:rRNA from 1 species